rnacentral:rRNA from 1 species
AAUCUUGCGACCGUACUCCCCAGGCGGUGUGCUUAUCGCGUUAGCUGCGCCACCGAGAAACUAGGUUUCCCAACGGCUAGCACACAUCGUUUACGGCGUGGACUACCAGGGUAUCUAAUCCUGUUUGCUCCCCACGCUUUCGCGCCUCAGCGUCAGUACCGGACCAGAUGGCCGCCUUCGCCACUGGUGUUCUUCCCAAUAUCUACGAAUUUCACCUCUACACUGGGAAUUCCGCCAUCCUCUUCCGGACUCUAGACAACUAGUUUCAAAGGCAGUUCCCAGGUUGAGCCCAGGCCUUUCACCUCUGACUUAGUCGCCCGCCUACGCGCCCUUUACGCCCAGUAAUUCCGAACAACGCUUGCCCCCUCCGUAUCACCGCGGCUGCUGGCACGGAGUUAGCCGGGGCUUCUUCUGCGGGUACCGUCAUCAUCUUCCCCGCCGAAAGCGCUUUACAACCCUGAGGCCUUCUUCACGCACGCGGCAUGGCUGGAUCAGGGUUUCCCCCAUUGUCCAAUAUUCCCCA